AUCUGGGUUUGCAACUUGUUGCAAGCGGUAGCGGAGCGUUCCGUAAGCCUGUGAAGCCAUACCUGUGAGGGGUGGUGGAGGUAUCGGAAGUGCGAAUGAUGACAUGAGUAGCGACAAAAAGUGUGAGAGACACUUUCGCCGAAAGUCCAAGGGUUCCUGCGCAAUGCUAAUCAGCGCAGGGUUAGCCGGCCCCUAAGUCGAGGCAGAAAUGCGUAGACGAUGGGAACCACGUUAAUAUUCGUGGGCCAGGUGGUAGUGACGGAUCGCGCGGGUCUGUAUCCCCUUAUCGGAUUGGGGGUGCAGUGAGCCGGUUCC
rnacentral:rRNA from 1 species